AGAAAAACUUUAUUGCCAAAAGCUUUUUACACAUACAAGGAAUCUGUAUUGGUGUUGUAGGUGCAUGUCACACAUUCUCUAAAAAAAGAAAAUAAGAAAAUCAAGUAUUAGACUAAAAACAAUAUACGUAUAAAU